GAUGAACGCUGGCGGCGUGCCUAAUACAUGCAAGUCGAGCGAAUGGAUUAAGAGCUUGCUCUUAUGAAGUUAGCGGCGGACGGGUGAGUAACACGUGGGUAACCUGCCCAUAAGACUGGGAUAACUCCGGGAAACCGGGGCUAAUACCGGAUAACAUUUUGAACCGCAUGGUUCGAAAUUGAAAGGCGGCUUCGGCUGUCACUUAUGGAUGGACCCGCGUCGCAUUAGCUAGUUGGUGAGGUAACGGCUCACCAAGGCAACGAAGCGUAGCCGACCUGAGAGGGUGAUCGGCCACACUGGGACUGGAACACGGCCCAGACUCCUACGGGAGGCAGCAGUAGGGAAUCUUCCGCAAUGGACGAAAGUCUGACGGAGCAACGCCGCGUGAGUGAUGAAGGCUUUCGGGUCGUAAAACUCUGUUGUUAGGGAAGAACAAGUGCUAGUUGAAUAAGCUGGCACCUUGACGGUACCUAACCAGAAAGCCACGGCUAACUACGUGCCAGCAGCCGCAGUAA
rnacentral:rRNA from 1 species